rnacentral:rRNA from 1 species
GACGAACGCUGGCGGCGUGCUUAACACAUGCAAGUCGAACGGAAAGGCCCUGCUUUUGUGGGGUGCUCGAGUGGCGAACGGGUGAGUAACACGUGAGUAACCUGCCCUUGACUUUGGGAUAACUUCAGGAAACUGGGGCUAAUACCGGAUAGGAGCUCCUGCUGCAUGGUGGGGGUUGGAAAGCUUCGGCGGUUGGGGAUGGACUCGCGGCUUAUCAGCUUGUUGGUGGGGGAGUGGCUUACCAAGGCAUUGACGGGUAGCCGGCCUGAGAGGGUGACCGGCCACAUGGGGACUGAGAGACGGCCCAGACUCCUACGGGAGGCAGCAGUGGGGAAUAUUGCACAAUGGGCGGAAGCCUGAUGCAGCAACGCCGCGUGCGGGAUGACGGCCUUCGGGUUGUAAACCGCUUUCGCCUGUGACGAAGCGUGAGUGACGGUAAUGGGUAAAGAAGCACCGGCUAACUACGUG